rnacentral:rRNA from 1 species
AUGGCCAAAUGCUUUGAUAAGGUGCUCAAAGGUGCACGUGGAUUACCCGUGACGGCAAUAGUUCAAUACACAUUUGACAAGAUGAAUGCGUACUUUCUAAAGUACUUGAUGGAAACGGAUGCACAGAUAGCGGGUGAGAACCCGCGCAAGUACAAGUACAAGUUCCCACCCAAGGUUGAUGAAUGGUUGGAAUUUGAAUCACGGAAGGUUGACUCAGAAGAAGCUAUAUUAUAUGAUAACGAAGAGUGGAAGUAGGAAGUGAAAGAGCCAGGAGGAACCACAAACGAUGGCCGCCAACAUGGAGGUCGGGCUUUCAAGGUGUCGUUAACACAAUGUGAUUGCUCUUGCGGGAGGCCAUUGUUGCUUUAUCUCCCAUGCUCACACUUGUAUACCGCCGAUCGCGUUAGGAAUGUGGACAUAAAUCACCCACGCAUCGUGAGGGAGUCGGAGUUCUCGAUCAUGACGGUCAAGAAAACAUGGGCUCCCCGCUUUCACCCAUAUUUUGACCAAUCACAAUGGCCGGAGUACCAUGGCACUCAACUAUGGUCGGAUCCA